ensembl:lncRNA
GGGGGCAGGUGGGGCAGGGGGGCGUUGGUCACGUGGAGGGCGGCUGCUUCUCCUUCACCUGCCUGGUUCCACUCCUCACAGCAUCAAAGCCAAGAAGACGAUGCUUGUGCAGCGGUUUGAAUAGAAAGAUGCAUCUUCUGUCACACUGUUUAUGUCAGUUUUUUAAGUUCCGAGACGUUCGCAGUUCACGUGUUUGUAUUUGCAUGUCGCUCACCGUGCUUGAAUUAUUUAUUGAUAUCAUCGGUGCCGUAUUUGAACAUUUUACUGUGCUGGAUUAUUUUAGUAAUGAGAAUAUUAAAUGGCCAAGUGUUGUGAACAGUAAGGAGAACAGUGAUGGAAAUGUUAAUUGAAAUUGUUCCUGGAAAACAAUUUGUCAGAAAAAAUCAGCUAUUUGAGAGUCAGCUUUAUUUAUGUAACUGUAUUUAAUAAUAUUGUGUUUAUUAGUUCCUUUUUAUUACAGUAAUUUUAGUGAAUUUUGUACGAACCUGGAUCAUCUUUCCUUAACCCUCCUGUUGUCCUCAUUUACGAGCACCAAGAAAUAAUGUUUCUUUGUCUGAAAAAAAAAUCAAAAAUUCAGCAAAAAGAUUCACCAAAUUUCUGAAAAUUUGAAAAACCUUUAGGAAGAAAAUUCCAAUAAUUCCUUAAAAGUUUCCCUUAAAAGUUUUAUUUUAAAAAAGAUUCCCCAAAUUUCUGAAAAUUUGAAAAACCUUUAGGAAGAAAAUUCCAAUAAUUCCUUAAAAGUUUCCCUUAAAAGUUUUAUUUUAAAAAAAAUUCCCCAAAUUUUGGAAGAAAAUUCCUGUAAAUAUUUUUCAAAAAUGAGUAAAAAUCUUCCAAAAAACUCCUAAAAAUAUCUAAAGUGAUUCCAUAUAUAUCAGUAAAAUUUUUAAGAUUCUCUUUAAGAACAUUCACAAAAAAAAAUCAACCAAAAUCCAGCGAAAUUUGCUGGAUUUUGGUUGAUUGUUUUGUGAAUGUUCUUAAGAAACGUUUUCAACAUUUCUCUUUUUCCACCAAAAAAUGUUCAAAGAUUUCCCAAAAAUGUUGAAAAUGUGGACAUCAGAAGUUUCACUGUGAAAUUAUAUUUUCCACAUUUUCAAACUUUAAAACGGGUCAGUUUUGACCCGCAGGAUGACAUGAGGGUUAAUAUUCAGGAUGUUACUUUGGGUUGUAGUUUAUUCUCUGAUGUGCUUUAUUUCUCACCCACUCAUUCACUGUCACACGGUUCUUGCUUUAGUGACUUAGUUCUUUAAAAUUUCACAAUAAGAGCACAGAAAGAAAUUCUGAGACGUGGAUUAGAGGAAUAAACAGUAAACCAAAUACACAGCUGUUUAUUUCUUGCAGUGAUUUGAAGGCAUUUGUUGGUUUGCAAUGUAAAUGGUCUCAAUUAUGUAUUUGUUAUUUUCUAUGGAGUUUUGUUUUGUUUUUUUAAACGCACAUCAUACCAGAGGUGGUACAAUAAUCCUGCACAAACCCAGAGCUGGAGGCAUUUGUUAAUAGAACAGUUUUUAAAUCCAAAUACAGAAAAUUCACUGGUUUCAGCUUCUCAGAAGUGCAUAUUUGCUAUGUCUUUGCGAUCUCCAGUGACUGUUAAGAAAAUCUUUCGAUAUUGGAGUGUUGAUUGGACAAAGGAAGAAAUUAAAAUUCGACAGCCCAACACUUACAGGUGUUUUUACUUCAUGCUAUCCCACUUGGAUGUUUGAGUGUUGUUGUGAAGAUUUCUUUUACUGUUUACCACCUACUGAAGGGCAAAUAUUUGUCUGACUUUACCUUAAAUCGGAUUUUAAGAGGUAUAGUAGAGGUACAAACAUGGUUUUCUAACCUCACAACUUAAAUUCUCAAAUGCACAUACAGUGAGGAUGAAGUUCAAGUAGGAAACAUCUUGUGUGUUUUGCAGUUACAUUUCUCAAACCAGUAUAGUUUUCUUGCUCAUAGGUUGUAGAUUUUUAAAUAGGAAGUCAUAUUGGGAGCUAUACUUUAACCAGAAUGUUGAUAUACAUCAAACCAUUUCCAUAAAGAACAGCCAGCAAAACAUUUUUCCAACAGCACCCCUUAUGUAGCUGGUGAAGAACUUAGAAGGCUUUUCUGAAAAAUACAACACUGUGAAACAGCAACAUCAAAAAGUGGUUCACCCUAAAGAUAAAACCACCAAACACAAGCUGAGCAAUGUUGUAGAUGCAGUCCAAUGCAGCAUGAGUGCACAGAUUUAUUUAUACGGUUAUUUAAUAGGGACAGAACAAGAAGCAUUGUUACAAAAACCGAUGCCAUGUUCAUAGGUCAAUAGCAGACGGAUAUAUAGGGAAGAGUUAACUGUUUCAUAAGUGCAAGGUAUAUUACAGAAGAGUCAAUUCCUUAGGCAUCUAAAUGACAAGGGAACGGGACACUCUUUUGAGGACUGUAAUGUUCAUAUUGUAGGCAGAGAUGGUUUGAAAGAGGAGUUAAGAUAACCAUCACAACAUGUCAUUCAAAUUACUUCACAUAGUAAGGUGGAGAAAUUAUGAAAUUACAGAGAGAAAGCCAACAAAUCUGGAAUAAAACACCUCAAUUUUAACAGGAAAAACCUCCAGCAGAA